UCUUUCACAUCUCUUCAAAAGUGUUGAAGCAACUUCACAAUUCAACCAAUCAGGUGGCAGCAACCACAUGGGGCUAUGGGAUAGCACAAGUCAAAACAAUAUGGCGGCAAAGUUUAUGUAACGAAGCAGCGUAUCUAAUUUGUUAUAUACUAAUUCAGCAAAGAUGAGUCAAAAUUUUGAACAAGCUCCCGUUGGAGAAACUUUUAAAUGGAGCAUCGAAAUGGAGAGCACAUUUAUUGAACUCUUGAAGAAAAAAGAGAACAUUUGGAAUGUAACAUCCCGCCACCACAGGAAAUAUCAUUUAAGAGCUCAUAAAAAAUUAAUCGAAACUGCUUUUGGAAUAAAUUGUUCACUUUUAUCAGUU